UGGAAGGUCUUACCACAGGAAUGUCCAAU
rnacentral:piRNA from 1 species